GGUAUCAUACCCGACGGGAACGGAUACACCCAAUAAGGUCAAAAAAUAGGAUACCUUGAAGUGCCAAAGGCAACUCCCCAUCAUCAAUCCACAAGGUGCCUCCGGAAUGACAAGCUACAUACGCAGCUACCCAAUCCGCGGCGCCGUUACCUUCACGGUAAAUAUGCUUGGCCUGAAAGGCCCAUCCAUCCCUCGCCAUAGCCCAAAUGUCACGAAGCAAAGGAAGCCCUUCACAUUUGGCUCAAGCCAACUUAUUGAUUAAAAUUCAGUUUCCUUGAUGGUGGAUAUCGAAUAUUAAUGCAU
rnacentral:lncRNA from 1 species